GCCAGGUGUGGUGGUUCAUGCCUGUAGUCCCAGCUACUCAGGAGGCUGAGGCAGGAGGAUCGCUUGAGCCCAGGAAUUUGAGGCUGCAGUGAGCCAUGAUCACACCAUUGCACUCCAGCCUGGGCAACAGAGUGAGAUGCUGUCUCUU
ensembl:misc_RNA Metazoa_SRP Metazoan signal recognition particle RNA